rnacentral:rRNA from 1 species
GACGAACGCUGGCGGCGUGCCUAAUACAUGCAAGUCGAACGCUUUUUCUUUCACCGGAGCUUGCUCCAUCGAAAGAAAAAGAGUGGCGAACGGGUGAGUAACACGUGGGUAACCUGCCCACCAGAAGGGGAUAACACUUGGAAACAGGUGCUAAUACCGUAUAACAAUCAUAACCGCAUGGUUUUGAUUUGAAAGGCGCUUUCGGGUGUCGCUGAUGGAUGGACCCGCGGUGCAUUAGCUAGUUGGUGAGGUAACGGCUCACCAAGGCCACGAUGCAUAGCCGACCUGAGAGGGUGAUCGGCCACAUUGGGACUGAGACACGGCCCAAACUCCUACGGGAGGCAGCAGUAGGGAAUCUUCGGCAAUGGACGAAAGUCUGACCGAGCAACGCCGCGUGAGUGAAGAAGGUUUUCGGAUCGUAAAACUCUGUUGUUAGAGAAGAACAAGGAUGAGAGUAACUGUUCAUCCCUUGACGGUAUCUAACCAGAAAGCCACGGCUAACUACGCGCCAGCCGCCGCGGUAA